GUCAGCACGGUGCAGUGGUUUGCAUGCUUGACUAGGGCACCAGAAGACCAGGGUUUGAAUCCCUGCUCACC